CUUUUAAGGAGGAGACAGAGCAAGAAUGUCGGAGUCUCCUGGGGAUGGCUAGUCGCUACGUCAUCAUAAAAACAGCCACUUCCGUGUCCACGCGCUAACCUUCUAAUGGUUUCUACUGGUGUCAGCGGCAGUACAAUGGUGCGGUGCUGUGUCCCGGGUUGUAGUAACAGAAAUGAUGUCGACAAAACCGAUUUCCCCUCGAUGAGAAAGAGAAGAAGAGAUGGCUGAAGUUGAUACGAUUGCAGGAGAGGAGCCGAGGACUCUUGCCAGUUCCAAACCAACACCUGGGACCAAAGGAACAUCAUGAUAUCAAACAAGUUAAAAUGUGCUCAAGCUAAAGAUAAAGAGGUAAUGUGAAAACACUGUGAAGGAAACACUGAAGAGGAACAGAAGAAGACUCCUUCGUUAAACACGACCACUAAUGGACGGAUGGAUAAAGAAAAGGACACGUGUAUCAUAAAACUAUGAC